CGACACAUUACGUUCUGGAAUUAAUAUUACAAUUAUCCCAGGUUGACUGUAUAUGGAUGGUCUUAUUAUGUUUACCAACGUUGAAUAUAGUGUACACGUGUAUAAAAGUACACAGAUCAUCUAGCUAGGGUAGGAGAUGGUUUAGUGAAAUAAUCUAGGGUUAAGUUGUUUCUUAGACGACUAGAGAACAUAAUUGACCGGAUCACUCAAAAGCUAUUUUGUUAAAACAAAUCCAAUUGAGUUAUCUUCAAAUUUUGAGUUGUAUUAUUAAACCCUAAAUCUUAAAGGACAAUCCUUAAAAUUUCAUCAUAUCAGCUACCCAGGGCACUUUUUGGUCUUCACAUUCUGAUAGAGGUUUCAAAUUAUGGCUUAUUUGGGAUUUAAAAUGAGUGAGUUUUAAUGAAUAGUUUUGGUACUGUUCAUUUUAACGAAAAAUUACAUUUGUACACUAAAAAAUUAAUCAUAAUACUAUUUAUUUUACCUUUAUUUUGUCCUUAUCAUUAAAUCUUAAAAUUUUCAAACCAUUUUUAUUAAUUUUUUUAAAAAAUUAAUGAACUUUUCUUUUGGCUCUGACAUAUACUAAUCAAAACCUUUAUGCUGCUUUCAGCUUUUUUUUGGCCAAAGAUGGUGGUUACUAAAGGAAACAAAACUUUCUCGGCAACCAAAAUUUUACAUGUACAUGCGAAUACUGUUUAUCCUUUGGAUUAUAUCUUUAGGGAUUUUGGUGUGCCCUUUGCAGGUCCCAUUGACACUUGACAGCUUACAUACUCUUCUUAUAUUUUUCAAACAAAAAUAUCCUGUUACGCGCUUUACAGAGAUCCACUGAGACAAUCAUUCUACA
rnacentral:lncRNA from 1 species